rnacentral:rRNA from 1 species
UACGUAGGGCGCAAGCGUUGUCCGGAAUUAUUGGGCGUAAAGAGCUCGUAGGCGGUCUGUCGCGUCCGUUGUGAAAACUCGGGGCUUAACUCCGGGCCUGCAGUGGGUACGGGCAGACUAGAGUGCGGUAGGGGAGACUGGAAUUCCUGGUGUAGCGGUGAAAUGCGCAGAUAUCAGGAGGAACACCGGUGGCGAAGGCGGGUCUCUGGGCCGUAACUGACGCUGAGGAGCGAAAGCGUGGGGAGCAAACAGG